CUGGUAGCAGUGGGGGGGGUGUUAUGACUCAGCACAUGUGACAUCACGCCUGCGCUGCACGACGCAGGAAAAGGAAGACCACCUCACGGACAACCGCGUUGAAGCAAUCACCGCGGAGUCUGCUGGGGACUACCAGGAAUGGGCGAAAAAUGACCAUGUUCAGUACUUGCACACCCUGGUCCCAUAAGACGUGUGCUGCAUGUGGGCCUUUGGGGGCAGCCUGCGCUCGCUCUGAUGACGUGCAACCACACACAGACCUGUG